GAUACAUUUAAGGAUGUAAUAUCACAGACUAGACCAACAAAUUCAUUGGACGGAUACUGAAAUAUUUAACAAAUUAAACAGGAAAUGAACUAGAUGUAAUAAUCUAGUUAAACUGAAUUGCUAUGCUUCAAUUCCUUAACCAAUAAAAGUCAAUAUCCUUAAAGUAAAAGAAGUAUCCACUUAAAACAGAUAUUAUAACAGAUCUACA
rnacentral:lncRNA from 1 species